rnacentral:rRNA from 1 species
GAUGGACGCUGGCGGCGUGCCUAAUACAUGCAAGUCGAGCGAACAGAUGAGGAGCUUGCUCCUCUGACGUUAGCGGCGGACGGGUGAGUAACACGUGGAUAACCUACCUAUAAGACUGGGAUAACUUCGGGAAACCGGAGCUAAUACCGGAUAAUAUAUUGAACCGCAUGGUUCAAUAGUGAAAGACGGUUUUGCUGUCACUUAUAGAUGGAUCCGCGCCGCAUUAGCUAGUUGGUAAGGUAACGGCUUACCAAGGCAACGAUGCGUAGCCGACCUGAGAGGGUGAUCGGCCACACUGGAACUGAGACACGGUCCAGACUCCUACGGGAGGCAGCAGUAGGGAAUCUUCCGCAAUGGGCGAAAGCCUGACGGAGCAACGCCGCGUGAGUGAUGAAGGUCCUCGGAUCGUAAAACUCUGUUAUUAGGGAAGAACAAAUGUGUAAGUAACUAUGCACGUCUUGACGGUACCUAAUCAGAAAGCCACGGCUAACUACGUG